rnacentral:rRNA from 1 species
CCGCGCUGCAUUAGCUAGUUGGUAAGGUAACGGCUUACCAAGGCAACGAUGCAUAGCCGACCUGAGAGGGUGAUCGGCCACACUGGAACUGAGACGCGGUCCAGACUCCUACGGGAGGCAGCAGUAGGGAAUCUUCCGCAAUGGGCGAAAGCCUGACGGAGCAACGCCGCGUGAGUGAUGAAGGUCUUCGGAUCGUAAAACUCUGUUAUUAGGGAAGAACAUAUGUGUAAGUAACUGUGCACAUCUUGACGGUACCUAAUCAGAAAGCCACGGCUAACUACGUGCCAGCAGCCGCGGUAAUACGUAGGUGGCAAGCGUUAUCCGGAAUUAUUGGGCGUAAAGCGCGCGUAGGCGGUUUUUUAAGUCUGAUGUGAAAGCCCACGGCUCAACCGUGGAGGGUCAUUGGAAACUGGAAAACUUGAGUGCAGAAGAGGAAAGUGGAAUUCCAUGUGUAGCGGUGAAAUGCGCAGAGAUAUGGAGGAACACCAGUGGCGAAGGCGACUUUCUGGUCUGUAACUGACGCUGAUGUGCGAAAGCGUGGGGAUCAAACAGGAUUAGAUACCCUGGUAGUCCACGCCGUAAACGAUGAGUGCUAAGUGUUAGGGGGUUUCCGCCCCUUAGUGCUGCAGCUAACGCAUUAAGCACUCCGCCUGGGGAGUACGACCGCAAGGUUGAAACUCAAAGGAAUUGACGGGGACCCGCACAAGCGGUGGAGCAUGUGGUUUAAUUCGAAGCAACGCGAAGAACCUUACCAAAUCUUGACAUCCUUUGACAACUCUAGAGAUAGAGCCUUCCCCUUCGGGGGACAAAGUGACAGGUGGUGCAUGGUUGUCGUCAGCUCGUGUCGUGAGAUGUUGGGUUAAGUCCCGCAACGAGCGCAACCCUUAAGCUUAGUUGCCAUCAUUAAGUUGGGCACUCUAAGUUGACUGCCGGUGACAAACCGGAGGAAGGUGGGGAUGACGUCAAAUCAUCAUGCCCCUUAUGAUUUGGGCUACACACGUGCUACAAUGGACAAUACAAAGGGCAGCGAAACCGCGAGGUCAAGCAAAUCCCAUAAAGUUGUUCUCAGUUCGGAUUGUAGUCUGCAACUCGACUACAUGAAGCUGGAAUCGCUAGUAAUCGUAGAUCAGCAUGCUACGGUGAAUACGUUCCCGGGUCUUGUACACACCGCCCGUCACACCACGAGAGUUUGUAACACCCGAAGCCGGUGGAGUAACCUUUUAGGAGCUAGCCGUCGAAGGUGGGACAAAUGAUUGGGGUGAAGUCGUAACAAGGUAGCCGUAUCGGAAGGUGCGGCUGGAUCACCU